rnacentral:rRNA from 1 species
UCUGGACGCAGCCUGAUGCAGCCAUGCCGCGUGUGUGAGAAGGCCUUCGGGUUGUAAAGCACUUUCAGUAGGGAGGAAGGUAGUGUAGUUAAUACCUGCAUUAUUUGACGUUACCUACAGAAGAAGCACCGGCUAACUCCGUGCCAGCAGCCGCGGUAAUAGA